GACGAAGGUGGCUAGCGUUGCUCGGAUUUACUGGGCAUAAAGCGCGCGUAGGUGGUCGUGUAAGCGGGGGAUGAAAGCCCAUGGCUCACCCAUGGAACUGUCCCCCGGACUGCACGGCUCGAGGAAGGAAGGGGAGAAUGGAAUUCCCGGUGUAGCGGUGAAAUGCGUAGAUAUCGGGAGGGACGCCGGUGGCGAAAGCGAUUCUCUGGUCCUUUCCUGACACUGAGGCGCGAAAGCUAGGGGAGCAAACAGG
rnacentral:rRNA from 1 species